UGGCCUCGCUCCCCAGAUCCCCGAGGACCUCUACUGCCUCAUCAAGAAGGCCGUCCAGGUUCGCAAGCACCUCGAGCGCAACCGCAACGACAAGGACUCCAAGUUCCGCCUUAUCUUGAUUGAGUCCCGCAUCCACCGUCUUGCGAGGUACUACCGCACCAAGGGCCAGCUUGCGCCGACUUUCAAGUACG
rnacentral:misc_RNA from 1 species